rnacentral:misc_RNA from 1 species
AAGUCGUAACAAGGUUUCCGUAGGUGAACCUGCGGAAGGAUCAUUAUUACGUAUCCACGUAUCAAACCAAAUCGUGAACUGUUUCCCGUCUGAUGAGGAUUUCUGCGAGUGUUUGAACAUUUAUUAAAUGCAUGGUGAGGACUCCUAGUCGCAAGACUGGUUUCUUCGAAAUGGCACUCGGUCCUGGUUGCCCUCUCGGGGCUUCAGCCAGCUCAUUAGAUGUGGUUGAAUUUCAAUCACUAUGCUAAAACUAUUAACCCCUUGUAAAACACUUGAACUAAAUUACGGAGACAAGACCCUUAACCAGGAAACUAUCUCUGGAUAAACCGAAACUUAAGAAACAACUCUUAACAACGGAUAUCUUGGUUCUC